rnacentral:lncRNA from 1 species
CACGCAAUGAGAGAACAAGGAGCCAGUGAUACGUAUAUUCUUGACGACAGAUAAAACAUAGAUUUGCAAAGUAUGCCAUCAAAAUCAUGCAGUGUGUUUCAACUCCAGAAGACGACGGAGAAAGGCUUUUUUUUAACGUACGAACGCUAUAUUUCGUAUCGUCUAGUAGAUUACGUGGACUUGGGCACUGGAAACGGUGCAGGUGGUUUUGCGUCGAUGUCAAAGAAUCAUGGGUUUACAGCUGAAACCAUGACACUAGAUUUUUAAAACCGC